CAUCCCCUUGACUUGUCUUUUUCCCUUUCUCUUCCAGAUUUCUCCCCCACAGCAAAGCUCUCCUAGGGAGCACCUUUCUUGGUCAAUUUCUCUCACUGUUCAUUGGACCGCAGCACCGAGACCAUGUCUUCAUACUCCAAGGUCUCCUUGCCAUAGAGCACCAUCGUCACCAAUGGAUCAUAGGAAGGAGGCAGUGAGC
rnacentral:lncRNA from 1 species